GGAACGCAGCGGGGGUGGAGCCGAGGCCUCCGGAGCGGAAGUGGAUCGCUGCUGAGGCGGCGGCGUCUUGCUGGAGGGUUUCUCCUCCGUGGUUUCCGGAGGUGCUUCUUCGCUGGACUGCGUCGGCGUUGGCUGCUGCCGGGCCAGACCGGCUCCAGGACUUGGAGAUACCGGAAAUAUAUCUGGCUGCAAAUUGCCAUGCUAGCAAGAGGAUGAGUAACCAGUGGGUGUGAGAAGUUGUCGCCUUCCCUGCCAGCUCUGCAAAGGUCCCAUCCUUCUCUGGAGGGUGGAGCCAAAGGGCACCAUGAGUACGAGAAAGCGUCGUGGUGGGACAGUAAAUUCUAGACAAGCCCAGAAGCGAACUCGGGAAGCAGCGUCCACCCCUGAGAUGGCCUUGGAAGCAGAGCCCAUAGAACUUGUGGAAAGCGCUGGAGACGAAAUAGUGGACCUGACCUGUGAAUCUUUAGAGCCUGUGGUUGUUGACCUGACUCACAAUGACUCUGUCGUGAUUAGUAUCACCAGAGGUUUAUUAGAUCUUUCAGAGAACCAACUUUUAGCUUUGUGGAUCCUUUCUCUUGUAAGUUUUUUUCAUUCAUGGUUGCUUCUUUCUUUGAGUUUAUUUUGCUGUCUUUCUAACUUACUAAUUUUCAUCAUUUCUUUUCCAGUAAAUGCAUUUAAGAUUAUACUUUUUAAGCUAUAUUCUACAAAUUUUGUUAUUAGUAUUUUACAUUCAAUUCAACAUAUUUAUCAAACUUGUUUUUUAACUUUGAAACAUUGGGGAUUUUCUUUAUUUCCUUUGUUGUUGUUACUGAUUCUUUGAAUUACUGCAUUAUUGGUCAGAAAAAACAUUCCAUGCGUCAGUUCUUUGGUAAUUCCUGAGACUUGCUUUGAACCUGGCCUGCACAAAGCAGCUGGCCUUCCCUAGAUAACCUGCCUGGGCUUUGGUUUCUCUGUGAGGCUUUCAAAUGUAGGCUUCAAUUUAUUUUAUUUUAUUUUUUUAAUUUAAUGUUUAUUUUUGAGAGAGAGACAGAGUGUGAGCCAGGGAGGGGCAGAGGGGAAGGAAGACACAGAAUUGGAAGCAGGCUCCAGGCUCCGAGCUGUCGGCACAGAGCCCAAUGCGGGGCUUGAACUCACAAACCAUGAGAUCAUGACCUGAGCUGAAGUCAGACGCUUAACCGACUGAGCCACCGAGGAGUUCCAGGCUUCAAUUUUUCAAGAAUCUUCUGUAUUUUUUUUUCCUCUGGAUUAAUUGUAUUGCCUUUAGUUUGAACAAAUAAUUUUUUUUGGAUAUAUCUUUUUUUAAAAGUAUGUAUGUUUUAUCUUGUUUUGGUGGUUUUCAGUGGGAAAUUUGGUGGAAAUACUAGCCUGCCAUUUAUUGGAAACCUCUGCUCGUAUUUUCCAUCCUUCUGCCUUCUUAGCUGGGGUAGUAGGUGAGUUCAGGUUUUCAGGGCACUUUUCUUUUAAAGUCAGGUUGGUUUCCCUGAAAUCUCUUUGUGAUGUGUUUCCAUGGUGUGCCUAUGACUCUGACUAUUCGUGUUACACUCCAUACCUGCCUAUUUUCAUUCAUGAGACUGGAAAGAAUCUGCUUAACUGAAGCUCCCUUGCAGGCAGGGACAGAGUCCUGUCCAUCUCUAGGGGAAUAGUCAAGGGCCCGAGGGGCACCUGGUGACUUCAUAAUCGUGUAAGAAAGAAGGGCUGGCCACCAUGGCCAGGAACGGGGGAAUUGGUUGUCUGUGGUGCUGGAGGGGCUGCUUACUGUGACUGCAAUGUUCGUGGCAGGCCCGGUGUUCCUGGGCCUCCCGGAGGGCCGCACUAACAAAUCCGUCACUGCGGGCUGCGUGCAGCGGUUGGAUCCAAAGAGCAGCUGCUUUCGUGCACAGUGGGUGGAGGUGGCUGUUUUCCCCAGUACAGCAGCAUGCCAAGUGGGGAGGCUGCCUGAAGCACGCGGCUUGCUGAGCUCUUGGCCGCGUAGGCAUUCUUAGAAAUGCCAGGGCUCCACUUGCAUGCAGAGGGCCCCAGGCUGCCUGUCUCAGUCCCGUUAUUUCACCCAGCGUAUUCUUGCAGCCCCCGGAGGUGCCUAGAAUGCCAGGGGUUGCGUCUACUGGUAGAAGGAGGGCUUGACCGGAAGCCUGUGACAUGGGUGUCCGCACUUGUGGGUGUUCUAAGGCCCACCUGUGCUUCAGAAACUCAAAGGGCCUUCGCGUGACCGGCCUGGAGUCCGUGUGCCCUGGUGUGAAAGCAGGCGGCAGCGGGGGUCUGCUGUGGGUUGUUCGUACUCCGGAUGCCUCCCUUGUCUCUCAGCGCUCUGCCCUGUGCUUUAUUCCACAGUCAAGAAUGGGAAGCCAGACCCAAAGGUGAAGCAGGCUGUGGGAGGCCACUUGCCACAGUACUAACUCAGCUGUUCAGACCAGGGGGUUGGGGGGUUGGUGUUUUGUUGCUUUUAAAGGCCUCUUGGCCACAUGAGAGGCUCCAGAGCUGCCCUCCUCUCCCCACCAGGCAAGCGCUGUGUGACCUGCAGGGCCACAACUGUGAGGAAGGGCCAUUCCAGGGUGCUCGCAGGCACCUUAAAGGGGUUCUGGAAUUUGAUAUGGUUCAGCUGCUGGCUGGCCCAAGCACCAGGCAUCGUGUCUCAUGUCCCUCAGCCAGGCUGUGGUGCCAUUGUUUUCUGCCCUUUGGGCAAGAAGCUUCAUCUCUGAGGUUUUCUGUUGAGAAUGGGGACCGAGUCAUCACCAGUGAGGGGAGCUCUCUGGCCACUGUGUGUUCGUUUACCCAGUGGUUAGGUAAGGAACACCUGUCCUGAGCCUUGGACUAGGCAGCUCUAUGUACCUCCCCAGAGGCUGACGUUUGGCCUGAGCUUGGCACUCCCUGCAAGUGAGCUGGGUCUGACUCACAAGAGCCUGUGGAGACCUGGCUCCCACACACUGGUUUCCCGGGAGCCAGUGACGCCAUAUUUCUUCCAGGUGUGUCCACACUUAAUCGAAUGACCCAUCUUGGCAAAGGAAGCGAGGCAGUGUUGGGGUGCUGGAAAGCUGGGAUCGUCCCUGCCCACAGCAGAUUUUCCUUCCGUUCUUGGUUAAAUUCAGAGCUCCCUUUCUGUAGACUUCAUGGGGACUGCACCUCCUGUCAGCCCAAGCUUUUUUUCUAGUAAAUAUCCCAAUAAUGAGAUUGACGGUCCCCCACUUUCAUAGUUCCGCAGUCCAGCCUCCUCUAGGGGGAGGUGGGGGUGCCUUCAGUAGUAAUGUGGGUUAUGUUCUCAUCCGCAAAAUGAAGAUCUUUAUGCUUAGACCCUCCUUUCUGGGAUGGCUACUUGUAUCUGUCAUGGUUCAGGUUGGAAAACUGAAUCCGCGCUAGUUCUAAAGCAUAAAUGGAUUUUAAUACAUGGGAGGAGAUGCUUCUUGGUGUUGAAAGGGCUGGAGGAGCAGGACUCUAGGAAUAACCCCAGACAUCUUGGCCUUGACCCACCAUGGGACCGUUACCUCCGCCCCAAGCAGAGGGUCAGGAGAUGGGAGCCAUCACCUGCACUGAUCUCCUUGGGUUCAAGGAACCAAUACCUUAACCCCUUGCUAGGGAGGAGGGGCCUGGGCCAAGGACACUGCGGCCUGGGCCAGGACUGCCUGUUGAUAUUGCCAGCCGUGUCCAUCUCCAGCGGCUGAAAUUGGUGCUGUCUCACUGGUGGAACUUAGUUUGUGUCCAGAAUCCCUGCCACGAGGAGUUGGGAUGGAAAGAGCUUCUGGUUUCUGCAGGGCAGGACAGCAUGCCCUCUGCCAUGGUGUCGGCCGAAGAGAGGUGGGCAGUGGGGCUUUCCUGAAAUAGGUGAUGGCCUGUGACGAACAAGAGGAAGAGGUGUGCCACUGGUGACACCGUAGACAGACAGGUAUAGGAGCUCAGAGAGGGUUGAAGCCAUGGGGUAUGAAACUAUUGUAACAUAGUAAUCCUAGUGUAAGUUCUGCUGAGUAGCCGAUGGCGGCCUCAGGUUCUCAGUAACUCGUGUGUGUUUCUGGAGAACCUGGAGUCAGGGUGGUCUCAGCCCUUCGUGUGCCACUCGUUAGUCCCUGCACGCCCUGCUCUGUUUAAUUACUUGAUUAUAUCCCAGCAUAAGUACUGCACACCCUCCUCCCAGUAAAGGUUCAUGAAACAAGAUGCUUGUCACUGGCCCACCGGACAAGGAGAGCGUACGGACCUAGUCCUGGGCUCCGUGUCCGCGGUGAGCUGGGGGCGCUGGUGCCUCUGUUCUCCAGAAGAGAAAGCCAGCAGCUCCCACAUGGUGAGUAACUUUCAGGUCACGAGCCUGGCAGCUCCAACUCACUCGGCGUGUGGCAGGCCGAGGCACACAGCGUGCCAGCUGCCAGGAGGCGGAGGCGCCCAGGAUGCACCUUACUGGAGGGGAGGUGUCCAGACCUCCCGUCAGUGCUGGGCAGGGGCAGGCCCUCUCCUUGCACCUGUCCCAUCCCCUGGGGUGGGGAGGCUUUACUGAUCCCCUGAGGAUUUUUGCAUUUGAAAUAAGAAAUGCUUCAAUUGUGUCAUUUAAGAUAAGUUUUUUUGAAAUAUACAGAGUAUUUUAUGUCGUACUGAUGUUCCUUUUCUCUUUUGUUUUCCUCCGUUUUAAUAGAUUGUUGAUGAAAGGAGGCGGCCGAGGAGGAACGCCAGACGGCCACGCCAGGACCAUGCCGACAGCUGUGUGGUGAGCAGUGAUGACGAGGAGGUGUCCAGGGACAGAGAUGUGUACGUGAC